rnacentral:rRNA from 1 species
CCUACGGGGGGCAGCAGUGAGGAAUAUUGGUCAAUGGACGAGAGUCUGAACCAGCCAAGUAGCGUGAAGGAUGACUGCCCUAUGGGUUGUAAACUUCUUUUAUAUGGGAAUAAAAUGUUCCACGUGUGGGAUUUUGUAUGUACCAUAUGAAUAAGGAUCGGCUAACUCCGUGCCAGCAGCCGCGGUAAUACGGAGGAUCCGAGCGUUAUCCGGAUUUAUUGGGUUUAAAGGGAGCGUAGGUGGAUUGUUAAGUCAGUUGUGAAAGUUUGCGGCUCAACCGUAAAAUGGCAGUUGAAACUGGCAGUCUUGAGUACAGUAGAGGUGGGCGGAAUUCGUGGUGUAGCGGUGAAAUGCUUAGAUAUCACGAAGAACUCCGAUUGCGAAGGCAGUUCACUGGACUGCAACUGACACUGAGGCUCGAAAGUGUGGGUAUCAAACAGGAUUAGAUACCCCCUGUAGUC